rnacentral:rRNA from 1 species
CGGAAAGACCCCGUGAACCUUUACUAUAGCUUGACACUGAACAUUGAGCCUUGAUGUGUAGGAUAGGUGGGAGGCUUUGAAGUGUGGACGCCAGUCUGCAUGGAGCCGACCUUGAAAUACCACCCUUUAAUGUUUGAUGUUCUAACGUGGACCCGUAAUCCGGGUUGCGGACAGUGUCUGGUGGGUAGUUUGACUGGGGCGGUCUCCUCCUAAAGAGUAACGGAGG